AAAGGAAGCCUGGAGGGGCCUGAUGGGAUCAGCGAGGAGCGCGAGUGGGGGCAGGGACAGCAGCGCGUGGGGCAAGACCACCGCCCAGGGUGCCCGGCAGCCGGCUCGGCACCCACGUGGGCGCUUCCCAAGGAAUUUCUUCUACUGCCGAAAUGGAAAUCUCUGUUUUUGAACUCAUGAAACUUAAUUUUUGCUUGCUUGUUCAAAAGGUGCCUUUCCCAAAUGGAAAUCACUUGUUGAAAGCCACACCUGUAAAUACCGGUCCUGAAUGGCAUCUGUUCUGGGCACAGGAUCACAAAGUCAGAGUUUCUUCUGUCUGGAAGGAGUGGUUCAGGGGUUGCCGACGUGUUUUCUGUGUGCGCCUGCAGGGCUGAUGGGCUCCAGGCCCCGGUGGGGGCAGUGCGCCCGGCACCAGAGGGAGGACUUCAGCGUGGGUGGGAUCCGCGGCUCAAAGCUUUGCCGGGAGGUACGGGGCUCUGCUCUCCGGCUUCUUAAAAGCUGGUCCUGGAACUGCUCCAUUCCUCUUGUCCCCUCCCGAUCGGGGGACGGCCUUUGUGAACAUCCUGCCUCGGAGAGUGUGACGUCCUUCUUCAUUGGAGCAAAGGCAGACGUGGGGAGCAAGGCUGGCAUUAAGCAGCUCUCGGAGCCGGGGACGCACCUGCUUUGGGAACGCACCUGGACUGCAGACUGGCCGGCCCGCCCACUCCCUCUGCGGGCCGGCCAGCCUGGGUGACAGGGAGCUUCGAACACGGAAGCAUGAGGCCACAUCCUGACAUUGGUGACGUCUCGGCUGCAUUAACUGUGAGUGAAUUUUAACCAGAUUUUCCCACUGAUGCUCGACCUGCCUCGUUUGGAAGGGGAGACAGAUGGGUAAGCUCUCGCUGCGUCACGUGCUGGGGACGGCGGCAAGCUCCCCGGCCGCUCACGGCCGUGGUGCCACACUGGGUGGUGUUUCUCACGCCCGAAGGGCCGGCCCCGACACGGUGUGAGAGCCUGUCCUCGCCGAGACCCGCCACCACGCCUGCUGGAAACAAGCGGUCCGGGUCGAGUGUCUUUGGUAACAGGCAGACUUUUCCGGUCUAAGAACGACAGAAGCGCUUUGUGCGCUGGGACUGGGGUUACGCUGCGGAAGCCAGGAGAGCGCCUGUGACCCGUCUGAAGAUCUCAAGAAGUAGAUUGAUAGGAGGAUGCUGUCGGCCUGAGAGCUGGUGAUUUCACGAUGAUUUUCCGUCUCUCCUGGUUCAGAGAACUCAGGCGUGCUCACGCACAGCCCGGGGGGAGCCCUGUGUUGGCCCGCUCACGGCUGUCUCUGCUGCGGGAGGUCGUGCCUGGCAUCUGGCAGCAGCGGUCGCACGGGUGACAGAAGGGACGUAACUCGCGUCUGCCGACCUGUGAUGCGGGCACCGACUCUUCCCGCGGAUACCUGGGCGGACCAGGGCGUUCCCAGCACAGUACUCCCUCGCCAGGCUUCGCAGAGGCUCCGAGGGGCGCAGCGCUCCGUCCCCUCUCGGCCAGGGCUGGCCCGGCCCCACCCGCUCUUUUUCCACAGGACCGCUCUGUCCGGCGUUACCCUUCCGCACGUCCAUCGGGGCAGGGACCACCUCCUGUUCCCGCCACGACUACGGAGCUUCUGCUGUGGGUCAGCCACGUCCACCUUGUCCA